rnacentral:rRNA from 1 species
GCUCAGAACGAACGCUGGCGGCAGGCCUAACACAUGCAAGUCGAGCGAACCCUUCGGGGUUAGCGGCGGACGGGUGAGUAACGCGUGGGAAUAUGCCCUUUGCUACGGAAUAGCCCCGGGAAACUGGGAGUAAUACCGUAUACGCCCUUUGGGGGAAAGAUUUAUCGGCAAAGGAUUAGCCCGCGUUGGAUUAGGUAGUUGGUGGGGUAAUGGCCUACCAAGCCGACGAUCCAUAGCUGGUUUGAGAGGAUGAUCAGCCACACUGGGACUGAGACACGGCCCAGACUCCUACGGGAGGCAGCAGUGGGGAAUCUUAGACAAUGGGGGCAACCCUGAUCUAGCCAUGCCGCGUGAGUGAUGAAGGCCCUAGGGUUGUAAAGCUCUUUCAGCUGGGAAGAUAAUGACGGUACCAGCAGAAGAAGCCCCGGCUAACUCCGUGCCAGCAGCCGCGGUAAUACGGAGGGGGCUAGCGUUGUUCGGAAUUACUGGGCGUAAAGCGCACGUAGGCGGACCGGAAAGUUGGGGGUGAAAUCCCGGGGCUCAACCUCGGAACUGCCUUCAAAACUAUCGGUCUGGAGUUCGAGAGAGGUGAGUGGAAUUCCGAGUGUAGAGGUGAAAUUCGUAGAUAUUCGGAGGAACACCAGUGGCGAAGGCGGCUC